AAACCGCAUCCGUAAGUCCUGGACCGGCUGCUCUUGCGUAAGCAGGUGAUACUCCGUCUCUGAACGGUGAGAAUCGGCCCCCAGGGUGGAGCGGUUU
rnacentral:ncRNA from 1 species